rnacentral:rRNA from 1 species
CUUGGUGUCUCAAGUGAUAGGGCCACACCUGUUCCCAUCCCGAACACAGCAGUUAAGCCUAUCUACGCCGAUGAUAGCCGCAAGGCAAAAGUAGGCCGACGCCAGGA